GAGCUUUCCACUUAGGACUCCUGGAAGGGAAAGCCCCAGUUGCCCUUGCCCUCUGGGGCUCGGCGGUGGCGGGUUCUGCUAGCAAGGCAGGUCUUGCGGAGCCGUGCUCAGCUCCCGGGGGCGGGACCGAGCCGCUCCCUCCGCCCCACAAAUUGCUGCCACUGCCUCAGCCCAGCGCUCAGACGCCGCCGCAUCCCACGGCAGAGGCGGCCGCGAGCUCGAGCAGCGUCGCACCCGGGUGCCGCAGAGAGGCCGGCAGGCGACACCGCGAGGGACCUGGCUAGGCGCCGCUCGCAUCUCCUGCGCGCAGCUGGGGUCAUGAUAUACUGAAAACCACGCAAGAUAAGUCUGGGGAGGAAAGAAACCAUAAAGUCACGGAGAACACAUCCAGGCAGGACGGAUACAGGCAGGAAAGAAAGAUUUUCAGCUUCACCCUUCACUUGUCGUAGAAAGAACAGCACCUUUUAAUC